AAUGCAGCUUCACGUAGAGCUUGGGCAACACGUACGAGUCGAACACGCUGGCCUCUGAGAUGUCCCUCACUGCGGCGGCCUCCACAAUAUUCCUGAUGACGAACUUCUUGAUGGCUUUGUCCUUGGGGACGCAGCGGGCGCAGUUGGUGCAGCGGAUGGGCUGGACGUGGCCGCGGCCCUUCUUGGCCCGACCGUUGUUCCUCCUCUUCUUCGUCAUCG
rnacentral:misc_RNA from 1 species